GAUGAACGCUGGCGGCGUGCCUAACACAUGCAAGUCGAACGAAGCACCUUUUAAGAUUCUUCGGAUGAUUGAUUGGUGACUGAGUGGCGGACGGGUGAGUAACGCGUGGGUAACCUGCCCUGUACAGGGGGAUAACAGUUGGAAACGGCUGCUAAUACCGCAUAAGCGCACGAGAGGACAUCCUCUUGUGUGAAAAACUCCGGUGGUACAGGAUGGGCCCGCGUCUGAUUAGCUGGUUGGCAGGGUAACGGCCUACCAAGGCGACGAUCAGUAGCCGGUCUGAGAGGAUGAACGGCCACAUUGGAACUGAGACACGGUCCAAACUCCUACGGGAGGCAGCAGUGGGGAAUAUUGCACAAUGGGGGAAACCCUGAUGCAGCAACGCCGCGUGAGUGAAGAAGUAUUUCGGUAUGUAAAGCUCUAUCAGCAGGGAAGAUAAUGACGGUACCUGACUAAGAAGCUCCGGCUAAAUACGUGCCAGCAGCCGCGGUAAUACGUAUGGAGCAAGCGUUAUCCGGAUUUACUGGGUGUAAAGGGUGCGUAGGUGGCAGUGCAAGUCAGAUGUGAAAGGCCGGGGCUCAACCCCGGAGCUGCAUUUGAAACUGCAUAGCUAGAGUACAGGAGAGGCAGGCGGAAUUCCUAGUGUAGCGGUGAAAUGCGUAGAUAUUAGGAGGAACACCAGUGGCGAAGGCGGCCUGCUGGACUGUUACUGACACUG
rnacentral:rRNA from 1 species